CCUACGGGAGGCAGCAGUAAGGAAUAUUGGACAAUGCCCGCAAGGGUGAUCCAGCCAUGCCGCGUGCAGGAAGAAGGCCCUAUGGGUCGUAAACUGCUUUUACACCGGAGAAAACCUCCCUUCGUGAAGGGAGCUGAUAGUAUGGUGAGAAUAAGCAUCGGCUAACUUCGUGCCAGCAGCCGCGGUAAGACGAAGGAUGCAAGCGUUAUCCGGAUUCAUUGGGUUUAAAGGGAGCGUAGGUGGACUGAUAAGUCAGUGGUGAAAUCUUCGAGCUUAACUCGGAAAUUGCCAUUGAUACUGUUAGUCUUGAGUACAGUUGCUGUGGGCGGAAUAUGACAUGUAGUGGUGAAAUACAUAGAGAUGUCAUAGAACACCGAUUGCGAAGGCAGCUCACAAAGCUGUAACUGACACUGAGGCUCGAAAGUGCGGGGAUCAAACAGGAUUAGAUACCCUGGUAGUCCGCACCGUAAACGAUGAUUACUCGCUGCUAGAGGGCAACUUUUAGUGGCUUAGCGAAAGCGAUAAGUAAUCCACCUGGGAGUACGCCGGCAACGGUGAAACGUCGAAAUAGAGUAGAGNGNGAGAGNGCGACGGACGACGACGAGGGAGGAGG
rnacentral:rRNA from 1 species